rnacentral:rRNA from 1 species
CGAGGGGCAGCGGGGAGCAAGCUUGCUUGCUCUGCCGGCGACCGGCGCACGGGUGAGUAACACGUAUGCAACCUGCCCUCCGCAGGGGGAUAACCCGGAGAAAUCCGGACUAAUACCGCGUGGUACAUCUGUGGGGCAUCCCACGGGUGUUAAAAGGAAGCGAUUCCGGCGGAGGAUGGGCAUGCGGCGCAUUAGCUUGUUGGCGGGGUAACGGCCCACCAAGGCGACGAUGCGUAGGGGUUCUGAGAGGAAGGUCCCCCACACUGGUACUGAGACACGGACCAGACUCCUACGGGAGGCAGCAGUGAGGAAUAUUGGUCAAUGGGCGGGAGCCUGAACCAGCCAAGUCGCGUGAGGGAAGACGGUCCUAUGGAUUGUAAACCUCUUUAGGCGGGGAGCAAUGCCGGGCACGCGUGCCCGGAGGGAGAGUACCCGCAGAAUAAGCAUCGGCUAACUCCGUGCCAGCAGCCGCGGUAAUACGGAGGAUGCGAGCGUUAUCCGGAUUUAUUGGGUUUAAAGGGUGCGUAGGCGGAUUUUUAAGUCAGCGGUAAAAUGUCCGGGCUCAACCCGGGCCGGCCGUUGAAACUGGGGAUCUUGAGUGGGCGAGAAGUAUGCGGAAUGCGUGGUGUAGCGGUGAAAUGCAUAGAUAUCACGCAGAACUCCGAUUGCGAAGGCAGCAUACCGGCGCCCGACUGACGCUGAGGCACGAAAGCGUGGGGAUCGAACAGGAUUAGAUACCCUGGUAGUCCACGCAGUAAACGAUGAAUGCUAGUUGUCCGGUUCUUUGGGACUGGGUGACACAGCGAAAGCGUUAAGCAUUCCACCUGGGGAGUACGCCGGCAACGGUGAAACUCAAAGGAAUUGACGGGGGCCCG